AUACGGAGGGUGCAAGCGUUACUCGGAAUCACUGGGCGUAAAGCGCGCGCAGGCGGCUAUUUAAGUUGGAUGUGAAAGCCUACGGCUCAACCGUAGAACUGCAUCCAAAACUAUUUAGCUAGAGUGUGAGAGAGGAAGAUGGAAUUAGUUGUGUAGGGGUAAAAUCCGUAGAGAUAACUAGGAAUACCAAAAGCGAAGGCAAUCUUCUGGAACACUACUGACGCUGAGGCGCGAAAGCAUGGGGAGCAAACAGAAUUAGAAACCCCAGUAGUCC
rnacentral:rRNA from 1 species